UAUAUAACCCCAGCUGGCCUGCAGCUCACUAUGUAGACCAGGCUGUCCUCUAAUGGCUCAGAAAUGAAGAGAAUCUAUUUUUGCAGAAGGCCCCGGUUCAGUACCCAGCACCCACAUCAUGCCUCACAACCAUUGGUAACUCUAAUUACCCAUGGUGCCUUCAUCUAAACUCCAAGAGCACUUGGCAUGAAGGUGGUGCACAGACAUACAUAGAGGCAAAACUCAUAAAUACAAGGUGGAGUGUGGGCGGGGAGGUCUGUUUUAUAUGUAAAUUACUACUAGCCAGGAAAUAUACCCUUAUCAUUCCAGAGAUUUUAAAGGCUAAAGCAGAAGGAUUUCAAGUUCCAGCCGGAUUCCUUAGGGAGCAUUUGCCUCCAUAAAAUAAGGAAAGGGAUGAGUCUACAAUUCUUACCACAGGACUGAAAAUCUAAAUUACAGGGCAAUUCAAAGCCCUUGCAGUACUAUCUGGUUCCAGACAUGGAUGAUGAGGAAGGAGAGGCAGAAGAUGAUGAUGAUGACGAUGAAGAGAAGGAGGGGUUGGAAGAUAUUGAUGAAGAAGGAGAUGAGGAUGAAGGUGAAGAGGAUGACGAUGAGGAUGAAGGGGAGGAAGGAGAGGAGGAUGAAGACGAGGAUGACUAGCACAGAAGAUUGAUGGAUUCCAACCUUCUUUUUUAUUUUCUUUUUCUUUUUAAUUUUCCCCAGUCCCUGGGAGCAAGUUGCAGCCCUCCCUCCCUGUCCCCUGUGCUCAGUCGCCCUCUUUAGAGGUCUCAACUUCAUGGUUCUCAAUUAAUUUUGGGGGAAAAUAUCUUGAGCAAAAUACAACAGGAAAAGAAUCUCCGUUUCUGUUCUAAAUUCAUUUUUUAUCCUUUCUUGUCUCAAAUUUGUGGAUUCAAUAUCACCACCACCAUGCUCUGUGGGAAAAAAGAAAAGCUCCCCAGUUCCCUUGGCACUGCUGGAGGGUGCUAGGCCCCUGUGUAGUCGUUUAUAGAAGUCUAGCUUUUUUUCUUUUCUCUGUAUAUUGGGCUCAGAGAUUACACUGUGUCUUUAUGUGAAUACGGACAGUUAGCAUUUACCAACAUUUAUCUGUCUACUUCCUCUUGUUUAAUUAAAAGAAAAGAAAAAAGAAAAAAAGGGGGGUAUAGACUGUGAGCAAGGGUGGGUUUGAGGUGUCUGGGGUAGGUGGGCAUCUGACAACANGGCUUCUCCUUUGGCAUGUUUAAUUGUGUGGUUUAACAGACAUCCUUGCAAUUUAAGGUGACACUUAAAAUAAAAUUCUCUCCUGAUGAUGACUUGAGCCCUGACACUCAAUGAGAGAAUCAGCAGAACCUGUACGGUUUAUUUGGAGUUGACAUUCUCUGUUGUAACUUUAUUUUAAAUUUUUUCUUUUUUUUUCUUUCUGUUUCUUUUUUCUUUUUCUUUUUCUUUUUUUUUUUUUUUUUUGGUUUUCACUGGAAGGAAAAAGAUGCUCAUUUUAAAUGUUGAAGUGUACAAGUUGCUUUGUUACAAUAAAAUCAAUGUGUACACAAAG